rnacentral:rRNA from 1 species
AACGAACGCUGGCGGCAUGCCUAACACAUGCAAGUCGAACGAAACCUUCGGGCCUAGUGGCGCACGGGUGCUUAACGCGUGGGAACUUGCCCUUAGGUUCGGAAUAACUCCCCGAAAGGGGUCCUAAUACCGGAUAAUGUCUUCGGACCAAAGAUUUAUGGCCUUUGGAUGGGCCCGCGUUGGAUUAGCUAGUUGGUAGGGUAAAAGCCUACCAAGGCGACGAUCCAUAGCUGGUCUGAGAGGAUGAUCAGCCACACUGGGACUGAGACACGGCCCAGACUCCUACGGGAGGCAGCAGUGGGGAAUAUUGGACAAUGGGCGAAAGCCUGAUCCAGCAAUGCCGCGUGAGUGAUGAAGGCCUUAGGGUUGUAAAGCUCUUUUACCCGGGAUGAUAAUGACAGUACCGGGAGAAUAAGCUCCGGCUAACUCCGUG